UACGGGGGGGGCAAGCGUUGUUCGGAAUUACUGGGCGUAAAGGGCUCGUAGGCGGCCAACUAAGUCAGACGUGAAAUCCCUCGGCUUAACCGGGGAACUGCGUCUGAUACUGGUUGGCUUGAAUCCGGGAGAGGGAUGUGGAAUUCCAGGUGUAGCGGUGAAAUGCGUAGAUAUCUGGAGGAACACCGGUGGCGAAGGCGGCAUCCUGGACCGGUAUUGACGCUGAGGAGCGAAAGCCAGGGGAGCGAACGGG
rnacentral:rRNA from 1 species